rnacentral:rRNA from 1 species
UGGCGGACGGGUGAGUAACGCGUGGGUAACCUGCCUUACACAGGGGGAUAACACUUAGAAAUAGGUGCUAAAACCGCAUAAGCGCACAGCUUCGCAUGAAGCGGUGUGAAAAACUCCGGUGGUGUAAGAUGGACCCGCGUCUGAUUAGCUUGUUGGCGGGGUAAAGGCCCACCAAGGCGACGAUCAGUAGCCGGACUGAGAGGUUGGCCGGCCACAUUGGGACUGAGACACGGCCCAGACUCCUACGGGAGGCAGCAG